rfam:Fusarium oxysporum f. sp. cubense race 1 unplaced genomic scaffold scaffold253, whole genome shotgun sequence.
GCCCGCGUGGCCUAAUGGCUAAGGCGUCUGACUGUAAGUCCCCGCUUUCAAGAGCAUGUUAUUCGAAAACUAACCACCCCAUGGUCUACCUACGAUUUCACAGUCAAUCGGUUUGCGAAUCAGAAGAUUGCCAGUUCGAUCCUGGCCGUGGGCU